GUUUGAUCAUGGCUCACGACGAACGCUGGCGGCGUGCCUAACACAUGCAAGUCCAGCGAUGAAACCCUUCGGGGUGGAUUAGCGGCGGACGGGUGAGUAACACGUGGGUAACCUGCCUCAAAGAGGGGGAUAGCCUCCCGAAAGGGAGAUUAAUACCGCAUAACAUUAUUUCUUCGCAUGAAGAGAUAAUCAAAGGAGUAAUCCGCUUUGAGAUGGACCCGCGGCGCAUUAGCUAGUUGGUGAGGUAAUGGCUCACCAAGGCAACGAUGCGUAGCCGACCUGAGAGGGUGAUCGGCCACAUUGGAACUGAGAUACGGUCCAGACUCCUACGGGAGGCAGCAGUGGGGAAUAUUGCGCAAUGGGGGAAACCCUGACGCAGCAACGCCGCGUGGGUGAAGAAGGCCUUCGGGUUGUAAAGCUCUGUCUUCUGGGACGAUAAUGACGGUACCAGAGGAGGAAGCCACGGCUAACUACGUGCCAGCAGCCGCGGUAC
rnacentral:rRNA from 1 species